AAGCGUUGUUCGGAUUUAUUGGGCGUAAAGGGCGCGUAGGCGGCGGGGUAAGUCGGGUGUGAAGUCUCAGGGCUCAACCCUGAAACUGCACUUGAUACUGCUCUGCUUGAGGACUGGAGAGGAGACUGGAAUUCACGGUGUAGCAGUGAAAUGCGUAGAUAUCGGGAGGAACACCAGUGGCGAAGGCGACUACCUGGCCUGUUCUUGACGCUGAGGCGCGAAAGCUAGGGGAGCAAACGGG
rnacentral:rRNA from 1 species